GAUGAACGCUGGCGGCGUGCUUAACACAUGCAAGUCGAACGAAGCAUUUGCGAAAGAUUUUUUCGGAAUGAAGGUGCUUAGGACUGAGUGGCGGACGGGUGGGUAACGCGUGGGUAACCUGCCUUGUACUGGGGGAUAGCAGCUGGAAACGGCUGGUAAUACCGCAUAAGCGCACAAUGUUGCAUGACAUGGUGUGAAAAACUCCGGAGGUAUAAGAUGGACCCGCGUCUGGUUAGCUAGGUGGUGUGAUAACAGCCCACCAAGGCGACGAUCAGUAGCCGACCAUAGAGGGUCGGCGGCCACGUUGGGACUGAGAAACAGCCCAGACUCCUACGGGAGGCAGCAGUUUGGAAUAUUGCACCAUGGAGGAUACUCUGAUGCAGCGACGCCGCGUGAGUGAAGGAGUUAUUCGUUAUGUACAGCUCUAUCAGCUGGGAAGAUAGUGACGGUACCUGACUAAGAAGCUCCGGCUAAAUACGUG
rnacentral:rRNA from 1 species